GACGAACGCUGGCGGCGUGCCUAAUACAUGCAAGUCGAACGCAGUGGGGACGGGUGAGUAACACGUGGGUAACCUCCCAUCAGAGGGGAUAACACUUGGAAACAGGUGCUAAACCGAUACUGAUGGAUGAACCCGCGGUGCAUUAGCUAGUUGGUGGGGUAACGGCUCACCAAGGCCACGAUGCAUAGCCGACCUGAGAGGGUGAUCGGCCACAAUGGGGCCUGGGCAAGGCCCAGAACCCUAAGGGAGGCAGCAGGGGGGAAAUUUUGGCAAUGGGCGAAAGGUCGACCGAGCAAAGCCGCGUGAGUGAAGAAGGUUUUCGGAUCGUAAAACUCUGUUGUUAGAGAAGCGGUAUCUAACCAGAAAGCCACGGCUAACUACGUGCCAGCAGCCGCGGUAAUAC
rnacentral:rRNA from 1 species